GUAAAAUGAUUUAACUAUACGGAGUGCUCAGACUUAGAUUGUCUAUAAUAGCGUUAUUAUAAUAUUUAAUAUCAUGUUUCAAUUAAUAUUACUAUUGUAUAUUUCUUUUAAUCGGAGUUAUUGAGAGCAAAACCAAGUAUAGAGUAUACAUACAUACUUACCAUACAAAAACGUAACAUCAUAUUCAGAAGAUAGGAAAUAAGUAUUUUUUAUCCUAGUAAGUUAAAAGUUUAAAUCAAAAUGUUGAAGACAUCUAUUAUUCUUACAGCCGCUUGCAUAAUUAUUCAGUCGGAUCCAACGUCACAAGAAAAAAAUUUUCUUAUGCCCCCGAAAAUAAAAGUUUACAGUAAUUCCGAAGAAUUUCGACAAAUGAAUAGAAGUUUACUUGAAUUAAUUUUAAAUGCAACAGAAAAUCAUCAAAAUCAAUUAUCCGAUUCAAUAAACCCAGCUUUGAUAGCUAAAUUUGAUGAUUUUCAUGACAUGUUAACACAAAAUUUAAAUUUGAAAAAAAAAGUAUCGUCAAGUUUUACUUCAUUAAAUGACUAUGAAGACCAAGAUGAAUAAAAGAAAUAUUUAACUACUCGAAAAAAAAAAUUGUCACCAGCACAAUACGAUUUCCUGACUGUCACAAUACUCGUUUAGUUUUUUAGAGGUUGGAUAGAUUGACGAUAAGUACAGUGGUGGCAACGAUCAUAUCGUAAAUAGCACUAGGACAGAUCGUUACGGUUGGUACAGUUGAGUCCGCAAAAAAAUUAUCUUUAUUUCAUCCGCUACUUGGCUAUGACGAAGUGUUUGUAUUUCGACUAACGCGUGUACUUAGUAAUGACUUAAUUGUAGAAUAAUGGUGGGAGAAAAGAUCAUUCUACACGGAAAGAAAAUUAUGGCAGCGGUUCCCAUAAUUUUGUGAAAUUUUUUCCUAUACUAUCAUAGGAAUCACGACCAUAAAUUAUGGGAGCGGUUCCUAUAAUUAUAGGAAUGUUUCCCAUAAUUAUAGGAAUAGUUCCUAUAAUUAUGGGAAUGAUACCCAUAACACUAUAGGAAUGGUUCCUAUAAUUAUAGGAAUAGUUCCUAUAAUUUAUAGGAAUACUUUCUAUAAUAUUAUAGGAACCAUUCCCAUAAUAUUAUGGGAAUGAUUCCCAUAAUGCAAUUGGAAUGGUUCCUAUACCAUUAUGGGAAUCAUUCCCAUAAUAUUAUGGGAAUAGUUCCCAUACUAUUAUAGGAACCAUUCCUAUAAUAUUAUGGGAAUGGUUCCCAUAUUAUCAUUAAAAAAUUAAUUUAAAGAAGUGUAGUAAUCACUUCUACAAUACACAGAAAUAUUAUUAAACAUAAAAACAAAAAUUCAAACAUUGAGAAAAAAAAUCGUAUUUGGCAAAAAAACAUUAAAAUUUUUAACAAGAAUUUUUUGUCAGCACAAAACAUUCAAGAAAAUUCAAAUUUUGGGAAAUUUCUACACUAUUGUGCAAAAAAAAAAUUUUAUGAUAUUAUAGGGAUAGUUCCCAUAACAUUAUGGGAAUAGUUCCCAUAAUAUUAUAGGAAUACUUCCUAUACUAAUAUGGGAACCAUUCCCAUAAUAGUAUGGGAAUGAUUCCCAUACCAUUAUGGGAAUGGGAACUAUUCUCAUACUAUUAUGGGAAUGGUUUCCAUAAUAUAUGGGAACCAUUCCUAUAGUAGUAUAGGUACUAUUCCCUUACCAUUAUGGGAACCAUUCCCAUAAUGCAUAGGAAAACUGCCCAUAAUUUUCUUUCCGUGUAUUGCGAAUUCAACAAUAUCCAGAGACCGUCACUAAACGCAGAGAAUUUUUGAGUAAAAAUUACCCAUAAAGUUUGGUACUGUCAUGACAUUUAGACAGUAACUAAAUUUUUACUAUUAUGUUAGUAGGCAUUGCACUUUAUUCACAUGCUAUCGAGUAGUAUAUUUUACAAUGUGCAUGGGAGAGAUUUAGAUAUUUACUACAUGUCUUCACAGUAUCAAACCUUUUGGGUAAUUUUUACUAAAAAUUUCUCUGCGUUAGAGCUAAACUUUUCCCAAAAAGAGAAUAAACUUCGAAAAUCACCCCCACUACCGACUGUUUCUAAUCUGCGCAUGCGCAAAGAAAAGUGGAAGAAUAUUUAGAAUAUAAAACACCAAAAGCAGGAGUAAAAACCGAAAGCACCCGAAGUACACUCAUUCGUUGGGACAAUUUUAUACAGAUCGCUUCCUACACACAAAACGCGAAUCACGAUCCAUUACAUGCUUCCAAUCACAAAACGUAAAAAAAAUAAACCAUCUUAUGAUUUUAAAAUUGCUAUGUACAUUGAUGUAGAUAUGAGUUUAUCAUAAAAUGAUUUGCCAGGAAUAUAUUUUUAUUAAUUUUUAACAUUAAAAACAUCAUAUUGUCUUAUUUUCCAUUUAUGCUGAUAAAUAAACACGCCUACACUGAAAAAAAAUUUAACUUGAAUCAAGAAUUUUUUUUGUCUUCAAAAUUGAAUUCUUCCCGUGAAAAAAUCUUUCUAUAAAAUUUCUCGAAAUGUAAUACUGGAAAUGGCCUGGAAAAAUUUAUAAAAUUUUACAGGCAGUAAUUAUUAUUUCAGAAAAAUAUUAGAUCGAUAAAAUAAAAAUUCCAACUAGUCUUAUAUAUUGAUCUAUAUUUAAUAAGGGAAUUACAUUGCGAAAGAUCAAAUAUGUUUUUUAUUGUUGAAAAAAUUCCGGCGACUGCUAGGCCCGAACCCGGAGCCUCUCGAUUCCAUAUCUACCCUGUUAUCCCGACUAGAAAUUACUGUGGGAAUGCCCACUGUAUGUAUCUGGCCCCAAUUGGGUCCCAAUGGGGAAUUCCCAAGAGGGAAAUCCCCAUGAGGGCCCAAUCAGAACCCAAUCGGGAAAUCCCAAACAAAAAUAAAAUAAUUUAUGGUCGAUAUUUCCCAAUUGGGGCCUGAGCGGGACCUAAGUGGGACAACCCAACGUGAAAAUAAACAAAUUAUUGUAAUUUUUCCCAAUUGGGUUCUGUGUGGGGCCUAAGUGGGAAAUCCCAACGUAAACUUUAAAAAAAUAUUGUAAUUUUUCCCAAUUGGGUUCUGUGUGGGACCCAAGUGGGAAAUCCCAACGUGGAAAUAAAAAAAAUUAUUGCAAUUUUUCCCUAUUGGGUUCUGUGUGGGACCCAAGUGGGAAAUCCCAACGUAAACUUUAAAAAAAUAUUGUAAUUUUUCCCAAUUGGGUUCUGUGUGGGACCCAAGUGGGAAAUCCCAACGUGGAAAUAAAAAAAAUUAUUGCAAUUUUUCCCUAUUGGGUUCUGUGUGGGACCCAAGUGGGAAAUCCCAACGUAAACUUUAAAAAAAUAUUGUAAUUUUUCCCAAUUGGGUUCUGUGUGGGACCCAAGUGGGAAAUCCCAACGUGGAAAUAAAAAAAAUUAUUGCAAUUUUUCCCUAUUGGGUUCUGUGUGGGGCCCGAGUGGGAUAUCCCAACGUAAAAUUUUAAAAAAUAUUGUAAUUUUUCCCAAUUGGGUUCUGUGUGGGACCCAAGUGGGAAAUCCCAACGUAAACUUUAAAAAAAUAUUGUAAUUUUUCCCAAUUGGGUUCUGUGUGGGACCCAAGUGGGAAAUCCCAACGUGGAAAUAAAAAAAAUUAAUGCAAUUUUUCCCAAUUGGGUUCUGUGUGGGACCCAAGUGGGAAAUCCCAACGUAAACUUUAAAAAAAUAUUGUAAUUUUUCCCAAUUGGGUUCUGUGUGGGACCCAAGUGGGAAAUCCCAACGUGGAAAUAAAAAAAAUUAUUGCAAUUUUUCCCAAUUGGGUUCUGUGUGGGACCCAAGUGGGAAAUCCCAACGUGGAAAUAAAAAAAAUUAUUGCAAUUUUUCCCUAUUGGGUUCUGUGUGGGACCCAAGUGGGAAAUCCCAACGUAAACU